rnacentral:rRNA from 1 species
UACGGAGGGUGCAAGCGUUACUCGGAAUCACUGGGCGUAAAGGAUGCGUAGGCGGAUAAUCAAGUCAAAAGUGAAAUCCCACGGCUUAACCGUGGAACUGCUUUCGAAACUGGUUAUCUAGAAUAUGGAAGAGGCAGAUGGAAUUAGUGGUGUAGGGGUAAAAUCCGUAGAGAUCACUAGGAAUACCGAUUGCGAAGGCGAUCUGCUGGGACAUUAUUGACGCUGAGGCAUGAAAGCGUGGGGAGCAAAC